ACCAUUGCUUUUUUUUAAAUACCCCAACCCCAAUCUACAUUUUUACAUAGGUUGGACCAUGUGCAUUGUUGAACUGUGUUCAACAUGUAUGAAAACGCUGAGGUAGGCAGCAGCAGCCUCCGUAAAGUGUUGGCUAAAUGUCUAAAUAUGGGAACGUUUUCUAAACGUUUUUCAAAUUAACAUAAAUUUCCACCCUUAAUAUGUUGCAUUGUGAACUGUGCAAAUUAAUUGCCGAAAUUUCCAUUGUGUCUGGCAUGUAACAAAAUCUACUCUCGUGAUAAAGAAAGUAAUUGAUUAUUGAUCCAAAAUAAGUUAAUUGUAUUGUGUAUGUUUCGAUCUGAAGCAAUGAAUGGUAUUGGAAUUUCUACAAGUUUUGAAGACAAAUGGUGUGGGGGAUUUUAUAAAGCUGUUUUAGCACAGAGGAUACAGGUAUACAUGUACAUUGUGUAUUUAUGUAACCAGCCAAACCACCACAUUCAAUACUUCUGGGACUGGUUCUGGACUGUUUUUGCUGGCCUCAUAUACUGUACAAGAAUUUCUGUUGAGAAACUCUGAACAUUCUAAUGCAGUCUGAGGCCACCCAUCAGAUUUUGCUAAAAUACAGCUUUUGAUACAAACAGUAGGAGUAUUACUUGAUCAUUUGUUUAAGAUUCUGUUGUGUUUCUUGCAUACCAAAAUUUAAUGUAUAUUUACAUCCUUAUGUUGCAGUAAUGCUCUCUGGAUAAGAGUUGCAGUGUUUACUUUGUAAGAUUUUUGGCUGUUAAAGUUCUGUUCUGAUGAAAAACUUUAAGGUGCUAUAUAAUGACAAUGAACAAUUUAAAAAAAUUUUCUUCGUGCAAACAUUGUAAAAUGUCAUGCCAUCUGUAUGGAACAUGUUUACUCAUGUAUUCAUUUUCAUUUCUUUUGUGAUGGAGCACCAAGAUGAGUGUAUCAACUUAUUAUUUUACAUAGUUGAUAACGUUGUUCAUUCAGUGUCCAAUAGAAUGAGGCAAUGCCUUGUCAUUAGGAAGUUUUAGGUGCAUCAAAAUUUAUUGGAAACUGUGAGACUGCCAUUGUUCACAUUGAGAGGCAGUGAAAGAGAGAACCCUGUAAGUUAUUCUUGUUUGCCAUACAGAUUUGUGUGUAUCCCCAAAGAGCCCACAUGUAAAUCGCACAGUUCAUGUACAUAUAAUGUACAUCUAUCCCUGUCUUUGUAAGAAGCUGUGGUGCAUGUUUGAUUCUUGGGCUACAUGUAUUAGAAUAAAGACACUGAGUUGAUGAUAAUGUAGCAGUAAAAAUUUGUAAGAUUACACCUGUCACUAUUGGAUACAGUUGGAUUGGUAGAAAACACACAUAGCAGAACCAAGAAACCUGAGGAUUUUGUAGCUACAUUUAAUUCUCAGAUAAUGGACUUAAUAACCUUUUAAAACCAAUGUAAAACAAUAUGGCUAUUACCUAGUAACUAUGCAAUGUUUGUAUUCCUAACAUUAAGGAGAUCAAAGUGUUGUAUGUUGGACUCGUCACUUAGGUUUGAACACUUUUCGCUCUGAAGAGUCAAUCUAAAAGCAUUUAUCCUUUGUGAAUGGACGGAUUUAAUAUUUUUUGUACUGAAAUAAAGGUGCCAGACUUGGCAAGAUAGCUUGAAGUCA